AUAGGCUCAUAAUACCGAGCCAGAAGAUGAACCUCCAACAAAAAGACGACUUUCAUCAGCCUUUGUCAAGAGAUCUUUCAAACAACUUUACUGGUUCAAGACCUCAAGAACUUAGUUUCAGAACUUGCUUUCAUUGUCUUUGUUCUCUAAUUAUUGACUCUUAUUUUCACAAGAGAUUUGAACACAACAAUAUAUCAAGUGAUAUUGCUCAACUUCCUUAGCC